GAUGAACGCUGGCGGCGUGCUUAACACAUGCAAGUCGAACGAAGCACUUUGGAAUGAUUCUUCGGAUGAAUGAAGAAGUGACUGAGUGGCGGACGGGUGAGUAACGCGUGGGUAACCUGCCUCAUACAGGGGGAUAACAGUUAGAAAUGGCUGCUAAUACCGCAUAAGCGCACAGGACCGCAUGGUCCGGUGUGAAAAACUCCGGUGGUAUGAGAUGGACCCGCGUCUGAUUAGGUAGUUGGUGGGGUAACGGCCUACCAAGCCGACGAUCAGUAGCCGACCUGGGAGGGUGACCGGCCACAUUGGGACUGGGACACGGCCCAAACUCCUACGGGAGGCAGCAGUGGGGAAUAUUGCACAAUGGGCGAAAGCCUGAUGCAGCGACGCCGCGUGAGCGAAGAAGUAUUUCGGUAUGUAAAGCUCUAUCAGCAGGGAAGAAAAUGACGGUACCUGACUAAGAAGCACCGGCUAAAUACGCGCCAGCCGCCGCGGUAAAAC
rnacentral:rRNA from 1 species